CCUGCUUCCAGGAAAAGCCUCUAAGCAUCAGGUAACAUCAAAUCGUACCCCAAACCGACACAGGUGGUCAGGUAGAGAAUACCAAGGCGCUUGAGAGAACUCGGGUGAAGGAACUAGGCAAAAUGGUGCCGUAACUUCGGGAGAAGGCACGCUGAUAUGUAGGUGAAGUCCCUCGCGGAUGGAGCUGAAAUCAGUCGAAGAUACCAGCUGGCUGCAACUGUUUAUUAAAAACACAGCACUGUGCAAACACGAAAGUGGACGUAUACGGUGUGACGCCUGCCCGGUGCCGGAAGGUUAAUUGAUGGGGU
rnacentral:rRNA from 1 species